UACGUAGGGGGCAAGCGUUGUCCGGAUUCAUUGGGCGUAAAGAGCGUGUAGGCGGCCAGGUAGGUCGGUUGUGAAAACUGGAGGCUCAACCUUCAGAGGUCGACCGAAACCAUCUGGCUAGAGUCCGGGAGAGGAGAGUGGAACUGCGAGUGUAGAGGUGAAAUUCGUAGAUAUUCGCAAGAACACCAGUGGCGAAGGCGGCUCACUGGCCCGAUACUGACGCUGAGGCACGAAAGCGUGGGGAGCAAACAGG
rnacentral:rRNA from 1 species